UGGGUUACAUGUGUGUGGAGUUUGCAUGUUCUCCCCAUGUCGUCGUGGGGUUUCCUCCGGGUACUCCGGUUUCCCCCCACAGUCCGAAAACAUGCUGAGGCUAAUUAGACUUGCUAAAUUGCCCGUAGGAAUGCAUGUGAGAGUGACUGGUGUGUGAGUGUGCCCUGCGAUGGGCUGGCCCCCCAUCCUGGGUUGUUCCCUGCCUCGUGCCCAUUGCUUCCGGGAUAGGCUCUGGACCCCCCGUGACCCAGUAGGAUAAGCGGUUUGGAAAAUGGAUGGAUGGAUGGAUAGUUUAAUAUGCUGUUGCAGUUAGAUUUCACUUUUUCUAAUCAUGUAGAUGGCAGAAUUUUAUGUGGUGGAAUUUCCUGAGCAGGAAGAAGUAGCAGUGGUGAGCAAACACUGGAUGAAGGGGGAGAAGAAGUGUCCGUGGCCAACAUUUGUUUCGCCAGACAAAAUAAGAAAAGCUGCAACCAAUCAGAAAGUUAUGAGAAAGCCAAGAAAAAUGCCAAGGUGAUAGAAGAGGACUCUUCGUUUUUCAGUGAUCCAAAAUGACAGCUGCAAAGGGGAGAUCGUUGUAGAAGGGUGGCCCUUAUAAAUGGAAAAAAGGCUAAAGAAUAACCAAGGACGUCGGACUGAAUCGCAGACAGCAGACGAAGAAGGCUUCACAGAGACAUUCUGUGAUUUAUUUGACAUUGCUCACCAGAUGCAUUGUCAUUAAUUAAUGCUGAAGAAGGCAAAGCCUUUCUGCUUGCACAACGUGAACAAGGCCGAAAGGGUGUCAUGGCAGGCAUGGAUGCAUCGUCGGUAAAGAAAAAAGCAGAACUGAUCAUUAACCGGAUAAACGCUGUAAGUGGGAAGAAAAACAGAAAGUGGAACUAGAUUUGUUGAACCAAA